UACGUAGGGUGCGAGCGUUAAUCGGAAUUACUGGGCGUAAAGCGUGCGCAGGCGGUCUGUUAAGACAGAUGUGAAAUCCCCGGGCUUAACCUGGGAACUGCAUUUGUGACUGGCAGGCUAGAGUAUGGCAGAGGGGGGGUAGAAUUCCACGUGUAGCAGUGAAAUGCGUAGAGAUGUGGAGGAAUACCGAUGGCGAAGGCAGCCCCCUGGGCCAAUACUGACGCUCAUGCACGAAAGGCGU
rnacentral:rRNA from 1 species